rnacentral:rRNA from 1 species
AUGGCGGCGUCCAAGGCGCUGAUGCUGGCGGUGGGCGUGGUGGUGGUGGCGGGGUGCGCGGUGGGGCUGUCGGGCGCGACCGCGGGUGGAACCCCAACAUCAACUACUCCAGCUGGUCCGCCAACCAGACCUUCUACGCCGGCGACCUCAUCUCGCUCCGGUACCAGAAGGGGACGCACAACGUGUUCAAGGUGA